GGGAAUCUACCUAGUUCUACGGAACAACUGAUGGAAACGUCAGCUAAUACCGUAUACGCCCUACGGGGGAAAGAUUUAUCGGAAUUAGAUGAGCCCGCGUAAGAUUAGCUAGUUGGUGGGGUAAUGGCCUACCAAGGCGACGAUCUUUAGCUGGUCUGAGAAGAUGAUCAGCCACACUGGGACUGAGACACGGCCCAGACUCCUACGGGAGGCAGCAGUGGGGAAUAUUGGACAAUGGGCGCAAGCCUGAUCCAGCCAUGCCGCGUGAGUGAUGAAGGCCUUAGGGUUGUAAAGCUCUUUCAGUAGGGAAGAUAAUGACGGUACCUACAGAAGAAGCCCCGGCUAACUUCGUGCCAGCAGCCGCGGUAAUACGAAGGGGGCUAGCGUUGUUCGGAUUUACUGGGCGUAAAGCGCACGUAGGCGGUUUGUUAAGUCAGAGGUGAAAUCCCGGAGCUCAACUCCGGAACUGCCUUUGAUACUGGCAAGCUAGAGUCCGGAAGAGGUAAGUGGAACUCCUAGU
rnacentral:rRNA from 1 species